CAAGGACCAGUGGAGUUCGGACUUUGUGUAAUAUACGUGAAUAGAAAACUAGUUUUAGCCAUCUUGAAGACAUCCAAUCUGGAGGUCAGAAUUAGAGUGCUUGCGGGGACACGAUACAGAUGGCAGCUUGGACAUCAGCCUUAACCAAAGUGCUCGGUCCUUGACCUUAUCCGAGGUGUUUAAGCUCGUACGUUGGCCACGGACGAGGUAUUUUUUUGUUGGCCAAAGUC
rnacentral:lncRNA from 1 species